UAGGACUCUCGGCAAUGGAUAUCUUGGCUCUUGCAUCGAUGAAAGAGCGCAGCGAAAUGCGAUAGCGUGGUGUGAAUUGCAGAAUCCCGUGAACCAUCGAGUUUUUGAACGCAAGUUGCGCCCGAGGCCAAUUGGCUAAGGGCACGUCCGCCUGGGCGUCAAGC
rnacentral:rRNA from 1 species